rnacentral:rRNA from 1 species
CUCACUAGUCGAGUCGGCCUGCGCGGAAGAUGUAACGGGGCUCAAACCACACACCGAAGCUGCGGGUGUCACGUAAGUGACGCGGUAGAGGAGCGUUCUGUAAGCCUGUGAAGGUGAGUUGAGAAGCUUGCUGGAGGUAUCAGAAGUGCGAAUGCUGACAUGAGUAACGACAAUGGGUGUGAAAAACACCCACGCCGAAAGACCAAGGGUUCCUGCGCAACGUUAAUCGACGCAGGGUUAGUCGGUUCCUAAGGCGAGGCUGAAAAGCGUAGUCGAUGGGAAACAGGUUAAUAUUCCUGUACUUCUGGUUACUGCGAUGGAGGGACGGAGAAGGCUAGGCCAGCUUGGCGUUGGUUGUCCAAGUUUAAGGUGGUAGGCUGAAAUCUUAGGUAAAUCCGGGGUUUCAAGGCCGAGAGCUGAUGACGAGUCGUCUUUUAGAUGACGAAGUGGUUGAUGCCAUGCUUCCAAGAAAAGCUUCUAAGCUUCAGGUAACCAGGAACCGUACCCCAAACCGACACAGGUGGUCGGGUAGAGAAUACCAAGGCGCUUGAGAGAACUCGGGUGAAGGAACUAGGCAAAAUGGCACCGUAACUUCGGGAGAAGGUGCGCCGGCUAGGGUGAAGGAUUUACUCCGUAAGCUCUGGCUGGUCGAAGAUACCAGGCCGCUGCGACUGUUUAUUAAAAACACAGCACUCUGCAAACACGAAAGUGGACGUAUAGGGUGUGACGCCUGCCCGGUGCCGGAAGGUUAAUUGAUGGGGUUAGCGCAAGCGAAGCUCUUGAUCGAAGCCCCGGUAAACGGCGGCCGUAACUAUAACGGUCCUAAGGUAGCGAAAUUCCUUGUCGGGUAAGUUCCGACCUGCACGAAUGGCGUAACGAUGGCGGCGCUGUCUCCACCCGAGACUCAGUGAAAUUGAAAUCGCUGUGAAGAUGCAGUGUAUCCGCGGCUAGACGGAAAGACCCCGUGAACCUUUACUGUAGCUUUGCACUGGACUUUGAGCCUGCUUGUGUAGGAUAGGUGGGAGGCUUUGAAGCGUGGACGCCAGUUCGCGUGGAGCCAUCCUUGAAAUACCACCCUGGCAUGCUU